rnacentral:rRNA from 1 species
UACGGAGGGGGCUAGCGUUGUUCGGAAUUACUGGGCGUAAAGCGCGCGUAGGCGGACCUGCAAGUCGGGGGUGAAAGCCCGAGGCUCAACCUCGGAACUGCCUUCGAUACUGCGGGUCUCGAGUCCAGGAGAGGUGAGUGGAAUUCCUAGUGUAGAGGUGAAAUGCGCAGAUAUCAGGAAGAACACCCGUGGCGAAGGCGGCUUUCUGGGACGGUACUGACGCUGAGACGCGAAAGCGUGGGGAGCGAACAGG